rnacentral:misc_RNA from 1 species
AGCCCAUCUUGAGUAUUCUUGCAGUCUGAUCAUCUGAUAGCUUCCCAAGAAACUUCUGGCCUUCACAAAUCAUACAAAGCUCCAUAGGAAGAUAACAUGGUUUACUUCUACUAAUCUGCAAACAUGGCAAGUUCCUGAAUUUUAUAUCAUAAUUGUAGUGAUCCUUGAAGUAACUCACCAGCCUCAGGUUCUUCCCAUCCCUGUCUGCAAACCAAAGAUUUUCU